GACGAACGCUGGCGGCGUGCUUAACACAUGCAAGUCGAACGGAAAGGCCCUGCUUUCACGCUACUCGCGUUGCGAACGGGCGAGUAACUCGUACGUGAACUGCCCUCCUCUUCGGGAUAAGUCACGUCAACUGGGCCUAAUACCUGACAGGAGCUAUAUUUAGCGUGAUGGUUGGAUAGUUUUUUCGGUGUAGGAUGAGCUCGCGGCCUAUCAGCUUGUUGGUGGGGUUAUGGCCUACCAAGGCGGCGACGGGUAGCCGGCCUGAGAGGGUGGACGGCCACAUUGGGACUGAGAUACGGCCCAGACUCCUACGGGAGGCAGCAGUGGGGAAUAUUGCACAAUGGGCGCAAGCCUGAUGCAGCGACGCCGCGGGGGUGAGGACGGCCUUCGGGUUGUAAACUCCUUUCGCUAGGGACGAAGCUUUUUGUGACGGUACCUAGAGAAGAAGCACCGGCUAACUACGUG
rnacentral:rRNA from 1 species